CCAACGGCUCUUUUAAGAGCCACCAACUUAUUUCAGAGAAAGAGCU
rfam:TPA: Bos taurus chromosome 23, whole genome shotgun sequence.